ACACCUUCAAUCCCUCUCCUCCGAUCUCUCUUUCUGAGCCCCGUCUCAUCUUUGAUUUGACUCAUUUGAGUGUUCCGAAUAUGAUCAAAGUUGGUCAUGAGAUAUCAGAAGCCGAAAGCAUUGGUGAUGAUGAUGAAGAAGAUGGUUCCUGUAUAGGAUAGCCUUAUUCAUCGAAUCAAUGAUUUAUCAGAGUUUGUAAUUGUGGAUCCAGUGGGAAAGGAGAUUGCACGGAGUACAUGUUUCCGGGUUGGACUGAGGAAGAGGACAGAGAUCAGGAAGCGAGCAGGGUGUAACUGAUGUGCAGAGUAGCUCUAAGCAUCUGACUCUAGUUCCUUCGGAUGAACAGAAUAGUGCGUUCUCUGUGGAAAGUUGUGUGUACCAUUGGAAGUGAUGUGGUAGUAACGGUGUCCCUGUAACUCCUUUCAAGCUAACCUUUUGAUCAGCUGUUUUUGCAAAAGUUGUUGCACGGCAGUCAGUCAUUAUAGGCUGCUGAGACAUCCUGCUAGGGGUGGAUGAAUCUUUUGAAGUGAUUACAGGCCGGCUGCUGAGACAUUCUGCUAGGGGUGGAUGAAUCUUUCGAAACAACUACAGUUAUGUUCCAAGUCAAUUGGUAAAACCUUGUUCAGCUGGUACUAGCAUUUUGUAUCAUUGCUACUUGAUAGAGCUGGAUCAGAAAUUUGGAUAUGAGAUUCCAGUUAAUGAUCUUGUGCUUGUCUUUUUUCAAAUUCAUGUUGACGCACCAGUUCCUACCAUCUUUCCAUCAACACGUCCCACAUCCUUUGUAUCAUCCUGCUUGCCAAACAAUCCGAUCCUGUCUUGCUUCAGUCCAUAUACAAUGACCCAAAAGUUCACAAACAACCCCCUCCAACAAAGGGAUAAAUUCGAACUUGAGGAGUUGAUAGAACAAUAGAUGCACUGGACACACAGCCAUCCAUAAGGAUCAACGAUUUACCAGAAGCUAGCAAACGUCUUAUUCUUACCAGAUGAAUAACAAAUUUAAUUUAGAUUUUAGUUGUAGUUGAGUUGUAUGUUUCUCAUUUGGUUGUAUUGGAGUAGUGAUCGUUAUGUGUAAUCAAUCAAUAAAUUAUUAUGGUUCUUUCUUC